GACGAACGCUGGCGGCGUGCCUAAUACAUGCAAGUCGAGCGAAUCUUUAAGGGGCUUGCCCCUUGAGAUUAGCGGCGGACGGGUGAGUAACACGUGGGCAACCUGCCUGUAAGACCGGGAUAACUUCGGGAAACCGGAGCUAAUACCGGAUCAUCCUUUCCUUCGCAUGAAGGAAAGCUGAAAGACGGCGUAAGCUGUCACUUACAGAUGGGCCCGCGGCGCAUUAGCUAGUUGGUGAGGUAACGGCUCACCAAGGCGACGAUGCGUAGCCGACCUGAGAGGGUGAUCGGCCACACUGGGACUGAGACACGGCCCAGACUCCUACGGGAGGCAGCAGUAGGGAAUCUUCCACAAUGGACGAAAGUCUGAUGGAGCAACGCCGCGUGAGCGAUGAAGGCCUUCGGGUCGUAAAGCUCUGUUGUUAGGGAAGAACAAGUACCGGAGUAACUGC
rnacentral:rRNA from 2 species